CAAGUGUACAGCAAUGGACGAAGUGUAUCGGUGCUGCAGCACAAGACCUGUCAAGCUGUAGAGUAUGUGGAGCUAUAGGUGGGCUGAAACAAGGAACGAACUAGCACCACGUUAGUUAUAAAAGCGAGCUGAAUAAGCGUUCGACGAUGGUACUGUGCUGGUCCUAGGCUAGACCGUGCUAGAGACGCGAGCCUGGACACAAAGGGAAAACACAGCACACCACUAGAAACAAAAUGAGUAGCCCUACUGGAAACAAAAGGAACAACAAUCCCCUUUUUUUGAUUUUCUUUCUUUCUUUCUUUCUUUCUUUUUUUUUUAUUUUUUUCUUUCUCUUUUCUUUUUUUUGGGGAACCUCAAAACCUGAUUAUAUAAACAAAAUAGUACAAAAUAUCACUUCACCACUCUCACCCUCUCACUAGAGUAAGGCUGAACCUCAAAAUUCAAUAUAUCUAGCACAAGUAUGAAGUGCUAUCUUUCCUUUUCGAUCACGUUGAUGGAAACGCAGAAUAGACCAACAAGUGGCUGCACCUAUUAUCAAGAUCUACUCAAAUUCCAACCCACAAUAGAUUGGACGCAGUUGUGACUAGAUGGUGACAAGAACUCAAAUCUCUAAAGGACUAAACUAAAACCAGCACUGGACAAGACCGAAGCAAAACCCUCAUUCAACCAGCCCUAACUAAGUAGUACUAGCCACGGCACAAAGGAUUUAUAGGAUUAUGGAAAACAAAUCUGCUAUAUUUUUUGGCUUUUUUUUGGACUAUAGGAAAAACAAACACGAAGAAUUGGAAAUCUCUCACCGAUAAACCUUGCUCUGAUUACCAACUGAUGCGAACCCGCUAGGGUUUUUGGCCUGAUCUUUCGAUGAGAGGCGCUGGAUAACUCGAUUAGUGGAUGGAGAUGACGUUCACGGCCCGACUACAGCCCUCAAGACCGUGCCUUAGCAACCGAUACACCACGUCCAACAGCUGUCACGAUCUUGUGGAGCGCGACAACCAGCCCCUAGGGCUCCCGUCCUGCAAGCAAUCGAAGAACUAGCAAGAACGAGGAAACAAGCACUGAAUUUGCAAGAUGAAUUGAAGGUUCCAAACUGAAUCUGAAUCAACAAUGGGGUUCCGAAGACAAGGAGACGGGCGGCUGAUCCUGCACGCGCGCCUACAAGCAAGUAGCGAAGGCUAAACUUGAUCUAAACAAAACCCAGUUGUUCAUGGUGGCUCUAGAUGUAAAUAAAUAGAGGGGAGGACGACCAAAGGGGUGCU
rnacentral:lncRNA from 1 species